rnacentral:lncRNA from 1 species
AGUUGGAGAGCGAUCCCGGCCUUGGCCUGCGGUGCUCAGGAGGCCGUGGGCGGUGGCUGAACAGCCAGGGUGCAAUGACUGAAUCCCACCCUCCACAGGAAAAGGACAAAUCCUUCCCUCUGUUAACCUCUCCGUGCCGAAGACCCCAGAGGCAGCUCUCCGUAUCCCAAGACGUGGUCACUCCAAACCCACAGUGAGCGGCUCCUGUGCUCGGCUUUUGCUCCACAAACUCGCUAGAGUGCCACCGGAGGAUGCUGAAG